rnacentral:lncRNA from 10 species
UGUUCAAGUCCCUAUUUUCAUUUCUUCUGUGUAUACACCCAGAAGUGGAAUUCCUGGAUUAUAUGCAGAAGCUCUUUUGCAACCUUCCAUUCUGUCUGUCUGCCCUCAUUUGCUGGUCAUAUGCAGAGGAUCUCACUGAGGACUAUGUGGAUUGUGUUGGAGCCACAAGGCAGAAGGAGUCUGGGCCCUGAAUGACUGCAUGGAUCAAGCCUCUCUAUUCACUCACAUGGUCCUGUGAUAUGAGUGAGAAAUAAACCUUUACUGUGUUAAGCCAGUUAGAUUUGUGGUUGUUUGUUACAGCAAUUAGUCUGUGCAGAUGAAUCCACCAACAAUUUAGAAGUCCUCUCAGAG